rnacentral:rRNA from 1 species
AUGUGGUCAAGUUAUUAAGGGCGCAUAGUGGAUGCCUUGGCAUAAGAUGGCGAUGAAAGGCGCGGUAAGCUGCGAUAAGCUACGCUGAGAUGCAAACAAUUUUUGACGCGUAGAUUCCUGAAUGGAGAAAUCCACUCCGAUGUUAAAUCGGAGUAUCCCCCCUGCUUUCUUGCGAAAGCAAGAAGGGGGAGAACAGCAAGAAGGGGGGAGGCUAUACCAGGGGAAUUGAAACAUCUUAGUACCCUGAGGAAAAGAAACCAAUAGGUAUUCCCCGAGUAGUGGCGAGCGAAAGGGGAGAAGUCAAAAUUUUGCUAUACGUAUAGGCCAUAUCCGUUGUAUAGCGAGAAGUUGUGGGGUCUGGAAGGGCUGGAGUAUGGUCCAGCCGAGAAGUUAAAAAAUUUCUUCUUAGUUGAAUAAUACUGGAAAGGUUAACCAGAGAAGGUGAAAGUCCUGUAAGCGAAAAGAAGAAACCUUCUUUUUUCAGAUUCCCAAGUACUGCGGGACACGUGAAAUCCUGCAGGAAUCUGGCCCGACCAUGGGCCAAGACUAAAUACACACUUAUGACCGAUAGUGAACUAGUACCGUGAGGGAAAGGUGAAAAGUACCCCGAGAGGGGAGUGAAAAGUACCUGAAACUAUGUGCUUACAAGCAGUGGAAGGACUAUGUUUCUAAUUCCGAUAACACUCGUGGUUAUCGGGAAAAGAAACAGUCUGACCGCGUGCCUUUUGCAGAAUGAGCCAGUGAGUUACAUCGGUGUAGCAAGGUUAAGUCGCCCAAGGCGACGAAGCCGUAGCGAAAGCGAGUCUGAACAGGGCGUCAUAGUUACAUCGAGUAGACCCGAAACUGAGUGAUCUAUCCAUGGUCAAGAUGAAGGUCGCCGAAAGGCGACUGGAGGUCUGAACCCAUUAGCCUUGAGAAGCUACGGGAUGAACUGUGGAUAGGGGUGAAAGGCCAAUCUAACUCAGAGAUAGCUGGUUCUCCCCGAAAUAGAAGGCGACUGGAGGUCUGAACCCAUUAGCCUUGAGAAGCUACGGGAUGAACUGUGGAUAGGGGUGAAAGGCCAAUCUAACUCAGAGAUAGCUGGUUCUCCCCGAAAUAG